GGCUUCAGGAAUGAACGCUAGCUACAGGCUUAACACAUGCAAGUCGAGGGGAAACGAUAGAGAAAGCUUGCUUUUUCUAGGCGUCGACCGGCGCACGGGUGAGUAACGCGUAUCCAACCUGCCCAUCACUUGGGGAUAACCUUGCGAAAGUAAGACUAAUACCCAAUGACGUCUCUAGAAGACAUCUGAAGGAGAUUAAAGAUUUAUCGGUGAUGGAUGGGGAUGCGUCUGAUUAGCUUGUUGGCGGGGUAACGGCUCACCAAGGCGACGAUCAGUAGGGGUUCUGAGAGGAAGGUCCCCCACAUUGGAACUGAGACACGGUCCAAACUCCUACGGGAGGCAGCAGUGAGGAAUAUUGGUCAAUGGACGAGAGUCUGAACCAGCCAAGUAGCGUGCAGGAUGACGGCCCUAUGGGUUGUAAACUGCUUUUAUAAGGGAAUAAAGUGAGUCUCGUGAGACUUUUUGCAUGUACCUUAUGAAUAAGGACCGGCUAAUUCCGUGCCAGCAGCCGCGGUAAUACGGAAGGUCCGGGCGUUAUCCGGAUUUAUUGGGUUUAAAGGGAGCGUAGGCCGGAGAUUAAGCGUGUUGUGAAAUGUAGACGCUCAACGUCUGCACUGCAGCGCGAACUGGUUUCCUUGAGUACGCACAAAGUGGGCGGAAUUCGUGGUGUAGCGGUGAAAUGCUUAGAUAUCACGAAGAACUCCGAUUGCGAAGGCAGCUCACUGGAGCGCAACUGACGCUGAAGCUCGAAAGUGCGGGUAUCGAACAGGAUUAGAUACCCUGGUAGUCCGCACGGUAAACGAUGGAUGCCCGCUGUUGGUCUGAAUAGGUCAGCGGCCAAGCGAAAGCAAUUAAGCAUCCCACCUGGGGAGUACGCCGGCAACGGUGC
rnacentral:rRNA from 2 species